rnacentral:rRNA from 1 species
AAUAUUGGACAAUGGGGGCAACCCUGAUCCAGCCAUGCCGCGUGUGUGAAGAAGGUCUUCGGAUUGUAAUGCACUUUAAGUUGGGAGGAAGGGCUUUAGGUUAUUACCUUGACGUUUUGACGUUCCUAACAGAAUAAUCACCGUCUAUCUCUGUGCCAGCAGCCGCGGUAAUACAGAGGGUGAAAGCGUUAAUCGGAAUUACUGGGCGUAAAGCGCGCGUAGGUGGUUCAGUAAGAUGGGUGUGAAAUCCCCGGGCUUAACCUGGGAACUGCUUUCAUAACUGCUGAGCUAGAGUACGGUAGAGGGUAGUGGAAUUUCCUGUGUAGCGGUGAAAUGCGUAGAUAUAGGAAGGAACACCAGUGGCGAAGGCGACUACCUGGACUGAUACUGACACUGAGGUGCGAAAGCGUGGGGAGCAAAC